UACGGAGGGUGCGAGCGUUGUCCGGAAUCACUGGGCGUAAAGGGCGCGUAGGCGGCCUGGCAAGUCGAUGGUGAAAGCCCGAAGCUCAACUUCGGGUCGGCCACUGAUACUGCUGGGCUUGAGUCGACUAGAGGCAGAUGGAAUUCCGGGUGUAGCGGUGGAAUGCGUAGAGAUCCGGAAGAACACCGGUGGCGAAGGCGGUCUGCUGGGGUCGAACUGACGCUGAGGCGCGACAGCGUGGGGAGCAAACAGG
rnacentral:rRNA from 1 species